rnacentral:rRNA from 1 species
UAGGGAAUCUUCGGCAAUGGACGAAAGUCUGACCGAGCAACGCCGCGUGAGUGAAGAAGGUUUUCGGAUCGUAAAACUCUGUUGUUAGAGAAGAACAAGGACGUUAGUAACUGAACGUCCCCUGACGGUAUCUAACCAGAAAGCCACGGCUAACUACGUGCCAGCAGCCGCGGUAAUACGUAGGUGGCAAGCGUUGUCCGGAUUUAUUGGGCGUAAAGCGAGCGCAGGCGGUUUCUUAAGUCUGAGGUGAAAGCCCCCGGCUCAACCGGGGAGGGUCAUUGGAAACUGGGAGACUUGAGUGCAGAAGGGGAGAGUGGAAUUCCAUGUGUAGCGGUGAAAUGCGUAGAUAUAUGGAGGAACACCAGUGGCGAAGGCGGCUCUCUGGUCUGUAACUGACGCUGAGGCUCGAAAGCGUGGGGAGCAAACAGG